rnacentral:lncRNA from 1 species
GUGGCAUUCCAACAAUGACGUCACUAUAAAAUAUAAUGUAGGUUGGAUAUAUUUAGAAUAUCUCGUCAUACUGAUUUUUCCGGAUUGUUAAAGAAACGUAAAUAGUGUAAAGGAGAGCUCAAUAUACGAUAAUUUCGAGAGAAACAGAAGGGAAAUGUGUAAAAAAAGUGUUUAAAGUCAAUUUAUUCAUUUGUGUCUCCCCAUCUCAUCAUUCUCAGUAAGAUUUGUUGGGGGGUUUUCCACACUAUAAAAACAAAAUGAAUGAUGUGAGGGAAUGUCACUCUGG